GAAGGUCAUUUAGAGAGCUAAGUUUUAUACAUGUAGAGAGAGACAGGUGUGUAUGAACGCAUGUAGAGAGAGACAGGUGUGUAUGAACGCAUGUAGAGAGAGACAGGUGUGCAUGAACGCCUUAACAGGUAUAAAAUAUAUAGUGCUGAUGAUGAUGGGGAAAAUAAAAAUGGUGAUAAUUAUGAUCAGGUUAUGAGAUUGUCUUCACUAUAGACUGAGUUAAUCCUUGUCACCAUCACCAACACCAUAGUGAGUUAAUUAAUAUAAUGUUCUUCUCAAUUUACCUCUAUGAUAUAACUCCCUUCAACCAUCCAUUACUCUUGCCAAGGAUGUUUUGCUUUACACGUCAUUUACAACUUUUUUCUAUAAUAUGAGAUAAACAAACUAUGUAACUCUAACCAUCUUUUCUCCUUCAAUAUGCUCAUCAAUAUACAUGUUUGUGUGUUUGGUUAAAUGGUGCUUUUUGGCAUUGCUGUUUAGGGGACAAUUUGUGUAUGUGUGUUUUGGGGAUGGUUCAGUGGCUAGUCUUCAGGAGCAGUCAUAGGUAGGGCACAGGUAUGGUGGAGUCACAGGUAGGUGGGGCACUGAUGGGUCAAUGACAGGUGGGGCACAGGUAGGUGGGGCACUGAUGGGUCAAUGACAGGUGGGGCACAGGUAGGUGGGGCACUGAUGGAGCAAUGAUAGGUGGGGCACAGGUAGGGUGGGUCAGUCACAGGUAGGUCACAGGUAGGGUGGGUCAAUCACAGGUAGGUCACAGAUAGGGUGGGUCAAUCACAGGUAGGUCACAGAUAGGGUGGGUCAAUCACAGGUAAAAUACACUCUAAAACACACUUACAAACUAACAUACACUCACAUAAGUCAAACAACAAGAUAACAUCCCCAAGACACACAUUUCCCAAUACACUGAAGAAUCUCACGGUAACCAACCACUCACUGACCAUUGACUGGCUUGACUGUACCGGUAAAAGCAUGACACUCACCUUGACAGUCACCUCCACGAGAGACAACAAAAGCGGUGAUAUUCUCUCCAGCGUAAAAUUCCCUCCAGUCGAUGAGGCUCUGAGAUCGCCACCUACGCCUCCACUGGUGAUAAAAAAAAGACC